AUGAUUGCUACCAUGGCCACUAUAUAUGUUGCCGGCCGGCUAUGGCAGGAUGCGGAGAGUAGGGUGUAUUUAAUCGAACAGCUUGAGAAAAGAACCGGUCAGGGUCAUUCUGCCGUAUCUGUUGAUGAUACAUUGAAAAUCAUAGCCCUGCAGGGAACAACAAAAGAAGUUGUCUUCCCUAGAGAUGGAAUUAGCUGCAGCUAG